UAAACUAGGAUUAGAUACCCUAUUAUACUUAUAUCAAUAAAGUAGUAUUAAAAUAAUAAAACUAAUUUAAUUUUGGCGGCAUUUCAUCUAUUUAGAGGAAUUUGUCUAUUAAUCGACAAUCCACGUUAAUUUUUACUUUAAUUUAAAACUUAUAUACCGCCAUCUUAAGAAACAAUUUUAAAUCUUUCUCCCAAUAAUUAAUAAAAAGUUAGGUCAAGGUGUAAUCUAUAUUAAAGAUUAGAUGAAUUACAUUAAAUAAUAUUUACAAUUAUUUAUAUAUUUAUAAAUAUAAAUAAGAAUUUAAAAGUAAUAUAUUAAUAAUAA
rnacentral:rRNA from 1 species